rnacentral:rRNA from 1 species
GGACCAUCAUGUCGGUCGUGCCUCGGUACGUACUGGUAUUGUUGGUUUCUCCCUUCUGACGAACCAUGAUGUCAUUUAUUUGGUGUUGUGGGGAAUCAGGACUGUUACUUUGAAAAAAUUAGAGUGUUUAAAGCAGGCUCACGCUUGAAUACAUUAGCAUGGAAUAAUGAAAUAGGACGUUUGAUUCUAUUUUGUUGGUUUUCGAAACCGAAGUA